AUUGAACGCUGGCGGCAUGCCUUACACAUGCAAGUCGAACGGCAGCACGGGUGCUUGCACCUGGUGGCGAGUGGCGAACGGGUGAGUAAUACAUCGGAACAUGUCCUGUAGUGGGGGAUAGCCCGGCGAAAGCCGGAUUAAUACCGCAUACGAUCUACGGCUGAAAGCGGGGGACCUUCGGGCCUCGCGCUAUAGGGUUGGCCGAUGGCUGAUUAGCUAGUUGGUGGGGUAAAGGCCUACCAAGGCGACGAUCAGUAGCUGGUCUGAGAGGACGACCAGCCACACUGGGACUGAAACACGGCCCAGACUCCUACGGGAGGCAGCAGUGGGGAAUUUUGGACAAUGGGCGAAAGCCUGAUCCAGCAAUGCCGCGUGUGUGAAGAAGGCCUUCGGGUUGUAAAGCACUUUUGUCCGGAAAGAAAUCCUUGGCCCUAAUACGGUCGGGGGAUGACGGUACCGGAAGAAUAAGCACCGGCUAACUACGUG
rnacentral:rRNA from 1 species